GUCAAAAGUGGUUUUCAAGGUGUGGGAUUUGACGUUUGUGGACGUCGAGACGAGCCUCCGGGAAAAGACGCUCCACAAACUACCACGCCUCGUCCAGUGGGGUUUCUUGUGUGGAACAAUGAUGACCAGCGACGAAGGUUGUACACCUCUUGGUAGCUACUUGACGUUGACGGUGCGAGACGUGCAAGCAGCAGCUGCCCAUGCCCAAUAGGGGUCUGAUCCUG
rnacentral:lncRNA from 1 species